AUCCUUUUCUAUUCAAAAACAUGACUGGGUGUUCACAAGUUUGUGUGAACUUGUGCUUUCCUUAAAACUUGUUACACACUUGGCACAUUAUGCAUCUAAUG